GUCUACGGCCAUGCCACCCCGAACGAGCCAGAUCUCCUCUGAUCUCAGAAGCUAAGCAGGGUCUAAGCAGGGUCGGGCCUGGUUAGUACUUGGACGGGAGACCACCUAGGAAGACCAAGUGCUGUAGGUG
rnacentral:rRNA from 1 species